UUGAAGUCCCUGAAGCAAUCUUUUGUUCUGCUUCUUCAACUGAGCCAUCUCCUAAGCUUGCCGACACCGUUCUUCCUCUUGCUUACGUCGAUCCUCUUCAUGACACAGUUGAUAUGCAAUUCCCUUUUGUCACAGUUCCUGCAUCUGGGCUUGGAGGGCUUGGAGCAUCACCAUUUGCUCUUCUGCCGUGUUGUAAUUUUUUGUGUUGUUCAUUGUGGAUACCAUCG
rnacentral:lncRNA from 1 species